AGCCUGGUGACUUUAGCGAAGUGAUNAGACCGUAUCCCAUCCCGAACUCGGCCGUCAAACGCUCCAGCGCCAAUGGUACUAUGUCUCAAGACCUGGGAGAGUAGGUCGUCGCCAGGCUN
rnacentral:rRNA from 1 species